ACAGGAAAAAUGGGAUAUGGUGGCGUUUUUUUAACGACGUUUUUUUGAACGUCACUUUUAUUAAUAUUUAACGGCGUUUUAUAAACGCCACCUAUUCUUUAAAAUAAAACUACACCGUUUUAUAAUAGGAGUCGCUUUUAAACGCCUCCAAAUCCGUUAGCCUCACGCGCCUCCUCUGUCCCUCUUUGUUGAAACCCUUAUUUUGAAUCUGAGAUGUAAUACGCACGCAUCUCUCUCUCUUUCUCUCAACCCUCUCAUUCUCACACCUUCAAAUCUCGCCUCUCUCCUGCUCACCCCCAAUUGCUUCUAAACCCUCGAGAGCGAUUUUCUUGGAGAUUCAGAUUCAUGCAGGUUCAUUUUGAGAUUCAGAGCGAUUUCGAUUUUGAAGAUCUCUCUCUCGAUUUCAAAGCUCCACCGUCUCUCUCUCUCUCUCUAGAUCUGGCCGGUAAUCAUAGUUUUAUGAGAGAAGAAAGAGGACAGGGACUGGGAGCUUGCGAAGAGAGAGGCAGUGCUUGAUUUCUCAGAGAUUCAGAUCGGUCUCAGAGAUUUCAUCUCUCAGCGAUUUCGAUUUUGAAGUUCUCUCUCUCGAUUUCGAGGCUCCACCGCGACCACCAUCUGCACCAGCUAGGAUUUGCUGGCCUUGUGUGAAAGUGACCGGAAGAAGGAGCUUUUGCUGCUACUACAGAUCAUUGACAUAAAGAUUAUUUCUCUAGGUCAUCUACCAAAUAUUUUCAGAUCCUUGGGGAGGCUUUUAUUGGAGUCUUUUGUGAAGAAAUUCAUUUUGGAAUUAAAAAGCUGUGAAAUUUGUCUGUCUCUGAUUUUGCAGCAGUGCUAUUUAUACUUGGGUUCAGAUUUUGAAGCGAAUUGGCAUCCUUAAUGGAAGUAUUAGUACCUUUUGUGUGUUCUGUAACAAUUGGGUUGAGGAAAAAUGGACCAUGUUCUGUUGCUCUACCCGUUGAGUUGGUGUGUUUGGUCGAAUAUUUUAAUUGGUGGGGAAUCCAAUGGGUCACGCCGGGUCCGGUGAUAGAGUUGUUGCAUUGGUGGGAUGGGGUUUCUUUCAGAAAGAUAGAAAAACAAAUUUGGAAAGUAAUCCCCAUGGCAAUUUUGCUGCUCAAAAAUAAAUAAAUAAAAAUUGCCAACAGGGUGAAGCUUAACCUCAAGGGAGUUUUGUAUUCUGUCAAUGAUUUUCUAUAUAACCUGCAGCAUAUUCGGUCAUGUUAUUAGACUUGUGGUUAGGAUUGUUGUUAGAUAUUGGCUAUGUUGUUUCUUGUUGGUUUUGCUUGGGCCUUCUCUAUUGACAUUUUAAAGGGUUGAUUGUUUAGUUUCUAUUAGGGGUAUUCAAAAUAGCCUGAGAACUGAAGAAUCGAAGAAUCGAAUUAAACCGGUCUCUUUGGGUUAGCUUGAUUUGGUUUUUUUAGUCCAUUGGUUUGGUUCCGGA